rnacentral:tRNA from 1 species
GCCGGGAUAGCUCAGUUGGUAGAGCAGAGGACUGAAAAUCCUCGUGUCACCAGUUCACAUCUGGUUCCUGGCA